GAUGAACUGGCAUCUUUAAAAGAACAACUAGAAGAAAAGGAAUCUGAAGUAAAAAGACUACAAGAAAAAUUGAUUUGCAAGAUGAAAGGAGAUGGGAUUGAAAUUGUUGAUAGAGCAAGGAUUGUCUUCAAUCUGGAAAUGACAGAACAAUCACCCUUUAAAAUAAGGAAGUGCAAUUCAGUGAAGACAGGUGCUACUGUCUUCCCGUCAGUCUGUGUUACCCCAGAACCAUCUCUGUUCUAAGCCAAGGUGUGGAAGAAGCCCUUCCCAUAAUUCUGCUAAGCUUUGUCAUGCAAUCUCAUGGUAUCUCCAUCAGACAUCUGAAUUGAGCCUUGAAGUGUGAGUAGGAGUUCAUCAGGGCUGCAUAGUGUUCCAUGGAUGCUUAGACCACAGUUUACUUAGCCAACCCCUACUGAGGAACACUGAAGUUGUUUCCUGUUUUUCAAAAGUAUAAACAAAGU